AAAAACUUAACAAAGACCUGACCUAUCCUGAAGGGACAACCAUGCAGUAGUAACCUGGAAGCCCUGCACAAAGGAUAAAGGAGAUUUAUUUGUGAAUAUAGUCAUUCUCUGACUGCUUCUGGGCCACCGUGAGAUGUCAUCACAAGGAAUGUCCAUGUAACACUGAGUAAUGGUGCUGUAUCCUGUUUCAAAGCCUCCUGUGAUUCCUCAUGCUGUCGGAGAGCAUUUAAAGCUCACUAGCUCAGUCCACAGGGCUUGCCCUUACUGGGCCUGUCUCGGUUCAUGGAACACCUAAUGCUCAGCUACAGAAUAUUAGCAUGCUGACUGGCUUCUUAGAGGAAAGGCACAAAUUAGAGCCUAGGCAUCCGACGGGAGCUGCUCGGGUUCUCACACGGAUCCAGCUGAAGAUUCAGCUUGCCCAUCAAGACAAUUUCAUCUCUCAAAUGAAUUAUGGCUGGGAGAUUUAUUAGAGGAGUGACAGAUGAUAAAUGAGUUAUCUGUCAUCUUUACAUACUUCCUCUUAUGGCAGCUGAAUGCUGUCACUCAUUUCUUCAGAUGGAAUUCAGAUGUAAAAGAAAGAAGAAAUGAGAAGAAGUUAAAUGACUCCUUUAAAAGAAAGAAGAAUUUCAAGCAGCACUUGCACACUGAUUUCUAACUAUGCUUGUACAAAAUCCACACAUAAUAUUUUAUAUACCAUGUGAAUUUUUUGAAUUUUUUUUUUCUGAGCCAUCACUAUAUGCCGUCAUUUGGAAUAGAUAGGGUAAUUUGACAGGAGCGUAGCAUAACUGUCUCCUGAGGAGCUUCAUCCAGCAGCUGAUGAAAACAGAUGCAGAGACCCACAGCCAAACAUCGGGUGGAGCUUGGGGAGUCUUGUGCAAA
rnacentral:lncRNA from 1 species